GACGAACGCUGGCGGCGUGCCUAAUACAUGCAAGUCGAGCGGGCCUCCGGAGGUGCUUGCACCUCCGGAAGGCCAGCGGCGGAUGGGUGAGUAACACGUGGGCAACCUGCCUUUGAGGCCGGGAUAACACCGGGAAACCGGUGCUAAUACCGGAUACGUCCUCUUUCGCGCCUGCGAGAGGGGAGAAAGACGGUCUUUAAGGCCGUCGCUCAAAGAGGGGCCCGCGGCGCAUUAGCUGGUUGGGGGGGUAAGGGCCUACCAAGGCGACGAUGCGUGGCCGACGUGAGAGGGUGAUCGGCCACACUGGGACUGAGACACGGCCCAGACUCCUGCGGGAGGCAGCAGUAGGGAAUCAUCCGCAAUGGGCGAAAGCCUGACGGUGCAACGCCGCGUGAGUGAGGAAGGUUUUCGGAUCGUAAAGCUCUGUUGUGAGGGAAGAACAGCUUCCGGAGGAAAUGCCGGAGGUUUGCCGGUACCUCACCAGAAAGCCCCGGCUAACUACGUGCCAGCCGCCGCGGUAAUAC
rnacentral:rRNA from 1 species